rnacentral:lncRNA from 1 species
UUUACUUCUUGCACUUAUAAAUAUUUGUUGUUUUGAAUCCAGUUGAACAGGACCCAUCAUACGCAAAGAGAAAUUGCAAGAAAGGCAACUAGCCAAACUCCUCAAAUCUAUAAUUGUUUAAGCAGUUCUGGCACUAAGUACCGAUCAGUGCCGCACUGAGGAGGUAAGUAAUCUAAUUGAUCGGUUCACGUGGAUGAAUCCAACAACUUGAAUAAGGUCCUUCUAACUUUCAAGGCUAUUGACAAGUUAAAUUCUGUGGACGUUCCCAGAACUGCUUGACAAUGAAUAACCAACUAACGAACAUUUCUUGGUUACUUUAAGAAUAA